rnacentral:rRNA from 1 species
GCAACGCGAAGAACCUUACCAGGUCUUGACAUCCUUUGACCACUCUAGAGAUAGAGCUUCCCCUUCGGGGGCAAAGUGACAGGUGGUGCAUGGUUGUCGUCAGCUCGUGUCGUGAGAUGUUGGGUUAAGUCCCGCAACGAGCGCAACCCUUAUUGUUAGUUGCCAUCAUUUAGUUGGGCACUCUAGCGAGACUGCCGGUGACAAACCGGAGGAAGGUGGGGAUGACGUCAAAUCAUCAUGCCCCUUAUGACCUGGGCUACACACGUGCUACAAUGGGAAGUACAACGAGUUGCGAAGUCGCGAGGCUAAGCUAAUCUCUUAAAGCUUCUCUCAGUUCGGAUUGUAGGCUGCAACUCGCCUACAUGAAGCCGGAAUCGCUAGUAAUCGCGGAUCAGCACGCCGCGGUGAAUACGUUCCCGGGCCUUGUACACACCGCCCGUCACACCACGAGAGUUUGUAACACCCGAAGUCGGUGAGGUAACCUUUUUGGAGCCAGCCGCCUAAGGUGGGAUAGAUGAUUGGGGUGAAGUCGUAACAAGGUAGCCGUAUCGGAAGGUGCGGCUGGAUCACCUCCUUUCUAAGGAA